rnacentral:rRNA from 1 species
CGCGGCCUAUCAGCUUGUUGGUGAGGUAGUGGCUCACCAAGGCUUCGACGGGUAGCCGGCCUGAGAGGGCGACCGGCCGCACUGGGACUGAGAUACGGCCCAGACUCCUACGGGAGGCAGCAGUGGGGAAUAUUGCACAAUGGGCGGAAGCCUGAUGCAGCAACGCCGCGUGCGGGAUGACGGCCUUCGGGUUGUAAACCGCUUUCAGUGGGAACGAAGCUAACGUGACGGUACCUACAGAAGAAGCACCGGCCAACUACGUGCCAGCAGCCGCGGUGAUACGUAGGGUGCGAGCGUUGUCCGGAAUUAUUGGGCGUAAAGGGAUUGUAGGCGGUUCGUCGCGUCGAAAGUGAAAACUCAGGGCUCAACCCUGAGCCUGCUUUCGAUACGGGCGGACUAGAGGUAUGCAGGGAGA